GAUGAACGCUGGCGGCGUGCCUAAUACAUGCAAGUCGAGCGAACAGACGAGGAGCUUACUCCUCUGACGUUAGCGGCGGACGGGUGAGUAACACGUGGAUAACCUACCUAUAAGACUGGGAUAACUUCGGGAAACCGGAGCUAAUACCGGAUAACAUGUUGAACCGCGUGGUUCAACAGUGAAAGACGGUCUUGCUGUCACUUAUAGAUGGAUCCGCGUCGCAUUAGCUAGUUGGUAAGGUAACGGCUUACCAAGGCAACGAUGCGUAGCCGACCUGAGAGGGUGAUCGGCCACACUGGAACUGAGACACGGUCCAGACUCCUACGGGAGGCAGCAGUAGGGAAUCUUCCGCAAUGGGCGAAAGCCUGACGGAGCAACGCCGCGUGAGUGAAGAAGGUCUUCGGAUCGUAAAACUCUGUUAUUAGGGAAGAACAAAUGUGUAAGUAACUAUGCACGUCUUGACGGUACCUAAUCAGAAAGCCACGGCUAACUACGUG
rnacentral:rRNA from 1 species